UCAAUCUUGGUGCAGAUGUUGGAGUGAC
rnacentral:sRNA from 1 species